rnacentral:ncRNA from 2 species
UAGCGCGCUCGAUCUUCAGGUGCCCUCUGCAGCUUUCGCCCAGAGGGUUGAACGGGAAGCCGGUGCGUCACCUGCACACGAGGAACAAACCCGGCGCUGCCCCCGCAACGGUAAACGAAUCGAAGACGCGAUCUGAUGCCACUGUGACAUGUCGUCAUGGGAAGGUGUCGCGUCUGGGCGUCAGGCCCAAUCGUGAGUCCGGAGACCGGCCAGGAGAUCCGGGCCAAC